rnacentral:misc_RNA from 1 species
UUAACUAUUUUAAUAGUACUCGGACGACACUAACAUUCAGAGUUUGGGGUCCUCUGGCAGGCACUUACCAGCUAAAGCCGGUAGCCGAAGCGGCCUACCAAAGCAACAAAGGUAUAGUAUUCAAGGGUGGGAGAUCUACCCGAUAGGGCAUGAACUCUGUAAUGAUCCUUCCGCAGGUUCACCUACGGAAA